rnacentral:lncRNA from 1 species
CUUUGUUGAUUGGGUGGUGGUAAUGGGUUUGUAGAGACGGAGUUUGAGGUUGUUUUGGUGGUCAAAGGUUAAAUCUUUGAAUGUAAUGGAAGAGGGGGAGUUGACCGGGACGUUGAAAAUUGGUUGGGUGGAUCGCCAGGUGGAGCCGUCUUUGUAGACUCUGAGGAGGCCGAUGCAGUCCUCGAAGUCAUCGGCGGAGGGAGGAGGAGGAGGAGGGGUUUCCGACAUUGUGAGAAUUGAGAAUGGAGGAAGUUGGUAGUAAACGUUAAACAGAACCAAAACUGUGUUUGAAAGGGAUUAAAUAUGACUGGGUCAGCUUUGAUUGUAGGCAUUGAUGUUGACAAAUUUGAUGUUGACAAAUUUGAUGUUGAAUUGGAGGUUAGCGACUUGGACCGCUGUGGCGAGGGGAAUAUUGGGUAGGUAAUGGCUGGGAGGGGUGAGACAUAUCUCACGGUAUGUGUUGUGUUUGCGCUAUCUCGAUUUAUUUUUUUCGAGAGUUAUUUAUGAGAUUAGGAGGGAAAAAUGUACAUGUAGGUUUGAAAUGUCACUGGUUUAGAGCAUGAUUGUUCUAAUUAAGCCAUUUUGUUUCAUGGUCAAGUUUAGGUCUAGUCUCGUCUGGCUAUUGUUCAUCGAUGGACGAGAUUUUGUCUAAGAAAAAUUACCAUUCAACAGCAAUAACAUGGUAACUCGAUUUAUAACUUAAAAUUGUUUGUAGUAAGUAAGUUAGUCACUGUAUUUAUAAUAAUAUAUUAUACACUUUGAUCCCAUAGGCCUAUUAUUAUGGUUACUGAAUUUGUUUUUAAUGUGUUUUUUAACUCAAGUUUUAAGCUUGGACCAACAUAGUAACAUUUUGACAAUUCAACUUGUUUUCAAUGAUGAUUAAAGUUUCAAAUUUUGGCAAACAAAGUAACAUUUUGAUCACUCAACUUGUUUCCAAUAUAUCAUUGACUCAAGUUUCAAGUUUGGGCAAACAGAGUAACAUUUUAGUCAUUCAACUUGUUUUAAAUGUAUCUUUGGCUCAAAUUUUAAGUUUGGACCAACAAAGUAACAUUUUGGUCACUCAACUUGUUUUCAACGUAUCGUUGACUCAAGUUUCAAGUUUGGGCCAAAACAAUAACAUUUUGGUCCCUCAACUUAUUUUCAAUGUAUUCUCCUCUAAUUGUCGAUGACUCUCGCAACUGGCCUUGGGAAUGUGCUUCGUUAAUAGCUGCAAUCACUGACCUGCUCAAUAAUUUAACUUGGGUUGACAUUCAGGAUGUCUAUUUUAUUGCAAGGAAAGCAGGUUUAGGAACUAUAAUUCAGUGACUAUCUUACAUUGAGUUGUGUUCUAUAUCUAGUUGUUAAUUACCCCUGAUUGUUCUUUCUUUCCUUCCACUUCGUCUGUGUCUUAUCAAAAGCCAUGAAACUGACCAUACCGUUGCUAUCUAUAUUUCUUUUACUUAUUUCACUGGAUUGAGUACUCAGUGAUGAACUUCUUGAUGAGAUCCAUGACAGAGUUUGCAGCUUCGGAGUCCGGAUUCACAGUAAAAAACCCGUGUUGCUGUCCUUCAAACUCGGCGUACUGAAUCCUCUUCCCCAUCCGCUUCAGCUUUUCGGCAUAGUCUCUGAUGCGGUCUACAAGUACAUCCUUCCCACCAGCAACCACCAGCAUGGGAUCAAGCUCUACUGUUGCAAGGUCUUUGCUCCUAGGGCCAAACGGGUUCACCGUCGGAUAAUCGGAUGUUUCGCCCACCGGGACUGAGUAUCUGAAUAACCUGUGGUGUAUCACAAAAUGCACAUUGAUUAUUAGUUGAAUUUUGAACUUUUUUUUGUGGUGAAGCUAAAGUCAUACCCAGUUGUGAGUGACACAUUAGGAUGACGAAUUUUUGCAGUAACUAAGUUACGCAAAAAAAUCGAAAAAUGGCGGAAUCAGGAGUGGACUAAGAACAUACCAGUCAAUAAGAUCGAUAUUUAAGAGCAUAUCCUUCCCAAACUCAGCUUCCGAUUUCGUCCGAACAACCCCACCAAAAAAAGGAUCCAACAACAAAUACCCUUUCACCUUAACCGGACCCAUAUCAUCCGACCCGGAUCCGACCCGAACCGCCAAAUUAUGAACAAUAUUCCCACCAGCCGAUUCACCCGAAACAAACACCUUCUCAAAAUCCGCCACCUCACUCAGCCACGGCUCAGCCUGACUCUGUAGCCACUUCAGAGCCGCGUAGCAAUCGUCGAUGGCAGCCGGGAGCCGGCUCUCCGGAGCCAGCCGGUAAGCCGGCGAGAUCACGAUCGCCUCGAGCUGCGAGGCGAGCCGGAAGCAGCAGUUUCGGAAGUAGGGCUCGUCUAUGGAGCCGAGGCAGAAUCCGCCGCCGUGGAUGAGGAAAAUGAUCGGAAGUUUUGUUGAUUGGGUUGAAGUGGGUUUGUAGAGACGGAGUUUGAGGUUGUUUUGGUGGUCAAAGAUUGCGUCUUUGGUCGUGACGGAAGGAGGAACGCUGAUCGGGAUGUCGUUAGAGAUUUGCUCGGAGGAUCGCCAGGUUGAGCCGUCUAUGUAGACUCUGAGGACGCCGAUGCAUUCUUCAUAGUCAACGGCGGCGGGGGGCGGCUGAGGAGUUUCUUUGGACAUGGUGGCGGUGGAGAUAGAGAGGAAGAUAUGGAUACGAUUAAUUUGAGGGAGAUUGUGAUCAUAAACUGAAAAUUAAUUAAAGGGAUUAAAGGGAUCAAUCAACGAUUAUGUGAGAUGAUUACGAUUAAAAGCUAAUUUGUUUGUUUGUUAAUAUAUAUAAGCACUUUUUUAAAGAUUCGGUUGUAUAUAGUACGCCUGUGAGUCGGUUAAAUCGGUUAUUAAUCAUCUGUUAACGGUUGGGGAAAGCAAUUUGAUGAUUGAAAUCGAUUAACUGAAUUAACCGAUCGAGAGGAGCUCACGGUUAAUCUGAUCGACUGAUAACCGACCAGUCGGUUAAAGAUCAAAUUUAACCAACCGACAUAUCGAUUCCCACCAGUCGAUUCCCCCAAAACAAACACCUUCUCAAAAUCCGCCACGUCAUUUAGCCACUCAUCCGGCUCAGCCGCCGCCGCCGCCUGAUCCUGAGGCCACUUUAGCGCCGAGUAGCCGUCGUCGAUUUCUGCCGGAAGCCGGCUCUCCGGAGCCAGCCGGUAAGUUGGAGAGAUGACGAGGGAGUGGAGUUGGGAGGCGUAAGCAGCAGUUUUGGGAGGGCGGCGAGAUGUUGGAUCCGACGCAGAAUCCGCCUCCGUGGAUGUGGAAGACGAUCGGAAGCUUUGUUUGGGUGGGUUUGUAGAGGCGGAGAUUGAGGUUGUUUGGUGGUCAAAGGUUGUGUCUUUGAAUGUAACGGAAAGGGUGGGGUUGAUCUGGCCAGUUGAAAAUUGAGUUAGAGGUUCGCCAGGUUGAGCCGUCUUUGUAAACUCUGAGGAGGCACAGACAGUCUUCGUAGUCAACGGUGGUCGGAGGAGUUUCUUCCGACA